rnacentral:rRNA from 1 species
UACGGAGGGGGCUAGCGUUGUUCGGAAUUACUGGGCGUAAAGCGCACGUAGGCGGCUUUGUAAGUUAGAGGUGAAAGCCCGGGGCUCAACUCCGGAAUUGCCUUUAAGACUGCAUCGCUAGAAUUGUGGAGAGGUAAGUGGAAUUCCGAGUGUAGAGGUGAAAUUCGUAGAUAUUCGGAAGAACACCAGUGGCGAAGGCGGCUCACUGGCCCAUUACUGACGCUGAGGCACGAAAGCGUGGGGAGCAAACAGG